UGUUGUAAACUCCUGUCAGCAGGGAAAAAGGUUAUAAGAGCUAAUACCUUUUAUAGCUUGAUGGUACCUGCAGAGGAAGCACCGGCUAACUACGUGCCAGCAGCCGCGGUAAUACGUAGGGUGCAAGCGUUAUUCGGAAUCACUGGGCGUAAAGGGCGCGCAGGCGGUCUUGUAAGUCUAAAGUGAAAUCCUUGGGCUUAACCCAUGGGCUGCUUUAGAUACUGCAAAACUCGAGUUCGGGAAAAGCAAGCGGAAUUCCUGGUGAAGGGGUGAAAUCCGUAGAUAUCAGGAGGAACACCAGUGGCGAAAGCGGCUUGCUAGAACGCAACUGACGCUUAGGCGCGAAAGCGUGGGGAGCAAACAGGAUU
rnacentral:rRNA from 1 species